AUUGAACGCUGGCGGAAUGCUUUACACAUGCAAGUCGAACGGCAGCACGGGUGCUUGCACCUGGUGGCGAGUGGCGAACGGGUGAGUAAUACAUCGGAACGUACCCAGUUAUGGGGGAUAACUAACCGAAAGGUUAGCUAAUACCGCAUACGCCCUGAGGGGGAAAGCGGGGGACCGUAAGGCCUCGCGUAAUUGGAGCGGGCGAUGUCUGAUUAGCUAGUUGGUGAGGUAAAGGCUCACCAAGGCGACGAUAAGUAGCAGGUCUGAGAGGAUGAUCUGCCACACUGGAACUGAGACACGGUCCAGACUCCUACGGGAGGCAGCAGUGGGGAAUUUUGGACAAUGGGCGAAAGCCUGAUCCAGCCAUUCUGCGUGAGUGAAGAAGGCCUUCGGGUUGUAAAGCUCUUUCGGCAGGGAAGAAACGCUCUGGGAUAAUACUCCGGGGUAAUGACGGUACCUGAAGAAGAAGCACCGGCUAACUACGUGCCAGCAGCCGCCGUAA
rnacentral:rRNA from 1 species